GCAACAAGUAAAGGAUCUGGAGAAGGAGAAUGGAGAAUUACAUGAUGCGAGGGCAGUAGCGCAGGAGUUGAUUAUGACCCAAACUGAAAAGAGUCAGGAAUUAACCCAGAGGGUAGAGCGAUUGGCUUUGCGGAUGGAUAAUAUGUGCUGCGGGCAUUUUGGGAAGGUGCCCACUACUGUUCUCAGAUGCAGGCGAUUAUAACUCGACCCUCCUGGGACCCAGAGGAGUGGGAUGGCAAUAUUUGGAGUACUUCCUCUGACUCGGAGGUUGAAUUUGCAUUAGAAGGAGAACUGACUACUCCCCAGGUCUGACCUCUUGUGCAAUUGAAGGGGGGAGAGACAAAUAGAUCGGGAUACUGUAGAGCAGUCAAGGAUUUAUACGCCAAAAGAAUGACAUGAGUUUUUAACUACUUUCCAGCAGCAGCCCAGGGAGUCUUUGUUAGCCUGGUUAGUGAGAGCAUGGGGUGCAGGUGCUGGAUCGCUUACUCUUGCAAGAGAGGAGCUGAAUUUAAUGAGCCCCUUAUCAACUGAUGCCCAACUACAGUAUUAUCUUACCCAAUUAACUUCUGCAUGGGAUGGGGCAGGAAAUGCUAUUGUAGCUCCAACACUAUAUCAAUGCUUGUGCGCCGCUGUGGUAGGUGCUUCCCUACCCACUAGUGAGUUAGGUGCUACAGUGAGGACUUUGGUAAGCAAUAUAAGGACUUUUGCACUUGUUGGUGAACCAGAUACUAAGCAAGUGAGAGCAGUUCAGAAUUCCAAGGUGAGAAGAUUGGCAGGGACUACCAAAUUGAGUGGAAAGCUAAUGAGGUGACAGAUGUGGACUGAUUUGCGGCAGGUGGGGGUAUCGUGGGAUGAGAUCGAUGGCUUGUCCACUGCUGAUUUAUUCAAGCGCUGGCAGCGUUUGCCUGCCAAUCAACAGAACCGAGUUAAACCCACCGCCCCACCUGCACCCAAUGCUCCCUGGAAGCUGCCUGCUAAGAAACAAUGAAGGGGAGGCGAGUCCCCCGAAAUCCGAGCGUGUGUUGCAGCGUAUCAUCCGGGGGACUGAUGCCCAUAUGUCCCCCUGCAAAUUAGGUGGCGCUUGGGAGGGGAAGUAGCUGUGCUUGCUUUAGUAGAUACAGGAGCAGAGGUUACAGUGUUGCAUAGUGCUGUAAACCCUGAGAAGGUACAAGGGCUGGACACCAGUGUGCAAUUCUUAGGGAUAGUCUGGAGGCGGCAGACAAAAGCUAUCCCUGAGAAAGUGCGCAGUACUAUUCAGCAAUACCCUGUUGCCACUGCUGUAAAACAACUACAAGCUUUUUUGGGGCCUUUUGGAGUUCUGGCGGAGCUUUAUACCCCACUUAGCAUAUUUAAUGCAGCCACUACAGCGUUUGAUCAAAACAAAAAAGUAGCCACUGGCAAUGGACUAAAGAGCAGUAGCAAGCCUUUGACCUGUGCAAGGAGGCGAUGGUCCAGCCUUGUAAGCUAUUCACUCCAUACGAGGGACAACCUUUUGACCUGGAGGUAACAGUUAUGGGGGAUACGAUGUCUUGGGGGCUGUGGCAGCAAUGUGCCCACGCAAGUUGGGGCCCUAUAGGUUUCUGGACCUGUUCCCUGCAAGGGGCCCCAGCAAAUUACACACCUGUGGAGAAACAGCUUUUGGCUGUGGUGUGGACUUUGCAGGAUACCGAACGAAUUACAGGACGUGGCCUGGUGACUGUACACACCCCCCUCCCCAUUCAGGCAUGGGUGAUGGAUGACACAGUCAGGGCCCAUGUGGGGGUGGCCCAAGCUGCAACUCAGUGGAAAUGGAAACACUGUCUACAAGCCCGGUUUAAGGAGGGGAGAAAGGACAUGAGUACCCCACAUGCAACCUUGUUAGGGGAAGUACGUUUUGAGCACAUGCCUCUAUUGUCUGUGCCAGAGGGGCUGCCCCCCCAAUAGAGCCAUUGCCUGUCUAAGAGGCCCCUCCUUUUGGGAGGUUAUCUCCUGAGCGAGUACAAGCCAAACCGACCCUAGCAAUCCCUGCUCGGAUAUCUGUAAUGGAGGUGGGGGGGGAUUGCCCCCCGCGUACUCGCCUCUGGGGAUGUAGAAUUCUACAUAUCUGAGCAACUUAUGAUUGCUGAACGAAGAGUCAUAAGCUUACAUUUAAGACUGGACUGCCCUUCACAGUGUGUAUGGCUGAUUACACCUUUGAUACCUGUUAAAAUAUCCCCACUCCUAUUGACCUCUUCUCAAGAUUGAUCUUUCCAGGUAUCCAUAUCCACGCCAGUGAAUGUCUCACAGGGAGCACCAAUACUGCAAGGAAUUCUGACCCACAGUGCCGGAGUGCCUCAAGUUCAGCAAACACCCUCAAUGCGCUCUUUAGCCAGUGUGUUAUCACGCCGGCAUCUCUAAGUUGGUGUUGGAAUGUUGCCCCUUGCUGACCACAACAGAUGCCCUUGAUCUACAAGACCAUCCAGCUUCCCAUGUAAAUACAUGGAUUUGGCUCACACCAAGAUCAGCUAACCUCUCUGCUUUCUGUAUUGCAGGAGGACGAUCAGUGGAUGAUGUCUUAACUACGUGUUACAUAGGUAUACCAGCUCCACUCGAGGUAUUGCGGAGUUAUACUUUCAAAAAAAAGAAAAUUGACACUUCUGUUACUCCCAUGAAUUUCUAUGAUUUGGGUAUUGUUUCCCAAAAGCUGACACCUUGGGCUUAUUCUUUCCAUAUAGCUAACAUAUCUAAAGCAGAUACUUGCUUUCGCUUUGUAAAUGCUGCCUCUGUUCUGCAGAAUGUAACCCAUAUGCAGUUAAUUUGUAAUGACACUAUGGAUAUUACCUAUGCAUCUGCUCACCUUAUACUACCAUUAGGAUGGUUCCUUCUGUGUGGCCCUACAGCAUAUACAUAUGUGCCGGCCAAUGCCACAGGUGGCCUAUGCACUGUAGGUCGUGUUACUUUAAGCAUUCCUGCCUUUAUGACGGAGUGGUGGAGGACCCCAUAGCAUAUCCUAAGAUGCCGUUUGUAACCCCCAUAUAAGUAUAUUUUCUCAUGCAGAAGCUCUAGGCCUGUUGUUGAGCCUAGCUGGGAUCCCGGGGGUGGUGGCACAUAAUUGCAAUCAGUUAGAGCAUGUUGCCUGUGCUUUGGCUCAAGGCUUAAAUUGGACAUCUAGUGCCAUUGCGCUAGAAAGAGUUAGGAGCAGUAUGGCAAGGAACACUGCAAAACCACCUAGGGAUUGACUGUCUCCUACUGUGAGAUAGCCACGGACAUCAUUACUUUGCCGAGAUGUGCUGUUUCAACAUCACCGAUGAAUCAGCAUCUAUCGAGAAUGAUAUCAGCCACCUACAAGGCUUUAUCCAACAUAUCCGGCAGAAUGACAGAGAUGCCUGGCUGGCUAAUUGGUUUGGCUCCCUAAUGGCAUGAUUGGGCCACCCCAUACUAGGAGAGCUCUUGUUUAUCUCUUGCUUUGUAUUAUGUUAUGUUUUGGUUUCAUAUACUUUGUAAGCUCCCUUGCCCUCUUACCCCAUGCCCUUCUGAAGACUGGGACGGCCUGCAACUAGCUUUCCACCGCGGGGGUGGAGUGUUAGGGAAAGUGCGGAAGAAUGUCGAGGAGAUAGGUGAUAGAAGCUAGCCAGACCGUUCCGUGGGAAAAGGAGCAUCAACAGGGCAUGUGGACCCAUAGUCACGUAGUUGAGCCUGUGCCAGGGUGGUGCUGCACCUGGGCUUUGAAUCAAGAAAAACAAUGAGCUUGACAUGCUUCCUUGCCCUGGACCGACGCUCAGCGGUGCCAGGGAUCCCCCACUCCAUUAUUGCCUCGAUCGGGGAAAAUGCUGGGGAAGGGAAUCCCCGUUCAGACCCAGAGGUAAUAAAUGCUCCAUGUCGACCAUCGUA